CUUGUCUCAAAGAUUAAGCCAUGCAUGUCUAAGUAUAAGCACUUUAUACUGUGAAACUGCGAAUGGCUCAUUAAAUCAGUUAUCGUUUAUUUGAUAGUACCUUACUACAUGGAUACCUGUGGUAAUUCUAGAGCUAAUACAUGCUAAAAACCCCGACUUCGGAAGGGGUGUAUUUAUUAGAUAAAAAACCAAUGCCCUUCGGGGCUCCUUGGUGAUUCAUAAUAACUUAACGAAUCGCAUGGCCUUGCGCCGGCGAUGGUUCAUUCAAAUUUCUGCCCUAUCAACUUUCGAUGGUAGGAUAGUGGCCUACCAUGGUGGCAACGGGUAACGGGGAAUUAGGGUUCGAUUCCGGAGAGGGAGCCUGAGAAACGGCUACCACAUCCAAGGAAGGCAGCAGGCGCGCAAAUUACCCAAUCCCGACACGGGGAGGUAGUGACAAUAAAUACUGAUACGGGGCUCUUUUGGGUCUCGUAAUUGGAAUGAGUACAAUUUAAAUCCCUUAACGAGGAACAAUUGGAGGGCAAGUCUGGUGCCAGCAGCCGCGGUAAUUCCAGCUCCAAUAGCGUAUAUUAAAGUUGUUGCAGUUAAAAAGCUCGUAGUUGAACCUUGGGUCUGGCUGGCCGGUCCGCCUCCCGCGAGUACUGGUCCGGCUGGACCUUUCCUUCUGGGGAAUCCCAUGGCCUUCACUGGCUGUGGGGGGAACCAGGACUUUUCUGUGAAAAAAUUAAAUGUUCAAAGCAGGCCUUUGCUCGAAUACAUUACCAUGGAAUAAUAAAAUAGGACGUGCGGUUCUAUUUUGUUGGUUUCUAGGACCCCCCUAAUGGAUUAAAAGGGAUAAUCCGGGGGCGUCCGUAUUCCCCUGUCAAAAGUGAAAUUUUUUGGAUUUUCUGAAAAACUAACUACCGGC
rnacentral:rRNA from 1 species